rnacentral:lncRNA from 1 species
GCUGUGUUCAUCUUGCAGAUGGACAGGGCAGAGCCAGGACACAGCUCGGCUUGCUUGUCCCCAGAGAGGGAAGAGUUAAGCUGCUUACCCUGAGGGAAGAACCAGCCCACAGCUCUGUAUGGGAGCAGCCAGAGCCAGCGGUGGAGACAGAGCAGAUAGUGUGAGAGAGCUGCUGAAUAAAAUGGUAUUUUGCUUGCCGAAGGCCCCCAGGUGUUCUUUCAGCUGUUAGUCACUCAUCCGCCCACUCCCUUCAGACCUCAGCUGGGGCUGGAACCUAACAGUACUCUGUAUAAACUUCUUUUUCCAAAGAAAUUUUGAUGUCAUCUCUAUCUGCUGUACAACGAACAGACUAUAGAAAACAACAACAACAACAACAACAAAAACCCUUUCUCUAGGAAAUCUGUUAAAUCUCUUACUAUGUGAAAUCCUGUGUACCCAGCACAAUUAAGAGGCAUUCAGAAUAACAUUUGAUCAAAGUUUAAAUAGCAUCCUUUCUUCUCUGAAACUGAAAAUAAGAACCCUUCCUAUUCCUAGAGGGUUAUUUUCUUCAAUAACAAGAGCUGGCUGAGGCCAUUUCUUGCCGGUGGAAUCUGUGCAUAGUGGCUCAUGUCUGACUGACCUCAGGUCACCAUUGUAGUUCUGUCCUCGUAUCAUCUGGGUAUCUGUUACUGCCACUGCCACCUGGAACCUGGGACAAGAAAGACUAAAAACAAGGAAGGUAUACAGGAAGCUUGUGAUUUCUGCAUAUUGAUUUUGUAUCCUGAGACUUUGCUGAAGUUGCUUAUCUGUUUAAGGAGAUUUGGAACUGAGAUGAUGGAGUCUUCUAAAUAUACAAUCAUGUCAUCUACAAAGAGUGGAAAAUCCAACAAAACCUGGAGUCCUGCUUACUUCUUACUGUUCCUUGUUGCAUGGCUUACUCUCUCCCUGAAAAGAAAACUGGUGAUUUCAGUCUUUGAAGUCUGUUACAUAUUUCACAAUUACAACACAGCUCAAGUUAAGUACAAAAUUUUUACUGAAGCUUUUCAUCUAUAUUUAGAUUUUGUAGAAUAUAUAGUUGAAAACAUGGAUGUCUACACUCAAAUUGAUGCAAGCCAACCUAAAUGUGUUAUAACUAAAUAGAAUGUUAACUUUCACAUCUAAAAUGUAAUUGAUAAAAAUUAAGUAAAAUGAAAAAUUUAGUUAUUCAGUGUCCCUAACUAAAUUUUAAUCUCUCAAAAGCCACAUAUAGUCUAUGGCAACCGAAAAACAGGUACAGAACAUUUCCACUGUUGCAAAUUGGCUCCUACUCACUCGUUAAGUAGUUUUGUUAUAUUAGCUUCUUAGCUUAUUCUGUCUCUGAUCUUUCGUAAUAAUUUCCUCUCUCCAUAUGGCAAUAUUCCCAAUUCCAUUCUUACCC